AAGGGGAUAUGAAUAACAAGAUUGGGGAAGGAAGAAAGUUUUCCAAUAGUUUCUGCAGCUAACCUGGGGGUGACCAGUGCCCGCCUGGUGCCCUGCACAUCAUCCAGAAGGAUGUCUGUGAUGGCCAGGCCUCCGUUUUGGUCCUAUUUACUACAGAUCAGGGAAUAAAUACACCUGCACCCCCCAGGGUACGGUCCCUGAAGUCAUUUGGGAAAUACGCGGCAUCCCAUGGCCUGCUCAGCUCUGUGCCUGCUCAGGGCUUCCCUUCGCCGGGGAUUUCACCAGUAAUUCAGCAUUAUAAUAAGCUGGUCGCGUCCAAAGGGCAUGCUGGAAACACGUGUUAAAGGAGCUACUGUGAAAAUUAGGCUAGCAGAGCUUGCUUUCAAGGUGCAGCUGCUCCCAGAGAUUAGUUAUGGCACCAAAAAAACAGCAUUUUUUUUUUAAGAUUCUCUCAGCCUGAGACACUUUCAUCCAAGCUUUUUUUUUUUUUAACGAUUUCCAAGUCAUUUUAUCCGCAGAGCUGGGGCUCCAGCAUUGUUACGGCGUUCACUUGAGAUUCAGAGACAGCUUUUGAGUGCCUGCCCUCCUCGGCAGUAACUCCUCCAGCCUGCCGCCGUCGCCGCCACUCCUGAGAACAGAUUUGCAACCUGCUGCUCCCCUUCCUUUCAGGUGCGUGGGGGAGAGAAAUUAGCUGUAUCUCACUGUCAGGAGACACCCGAGGAGCUGCAGCGUCGCGGUUAUAUAAAGAAACCUGAUACAAAGCCACUCUGGUUCUGCGGGGUUGAUCAAUUCUUCGCUCGCAUCCCAGAUUGCAGUCCAAUUACGGAGUUUGUCUUCGGAAAAUAUGAAGCUCCAGCUCUGACCAAAUCCCAUCACAACCCCGGAAAGGAUGCUCCCUGUGUUAAUUACCCUCCCAGCAGGGUACGUGCCUCCCCUGCCUCGUCUGAAAUUGUUGGCUUCAAGCUUUGUCUUCUGGGGAGCUCGCUGAUUUUUAAGGAACAUCCUUGCCUUUAGAGGACGUGCUUUCCUGGAAAGAUUGUAACUGGCUCCAGAUUUAUUUAAGAAAAACCGAGUAGAUUUUCUUCUGCUGGGGUACAAACC
rnacentral:lncRNA from 1 species